rnacentral:rRNA from 1 species
UACAUGGGGUGCAAACGUUGCUCGGAAUUAUUGGGCGUAAAGCGCACGUAGGUGGUUUGUUAUGUCGGAUGUGAAAGCCCUCGGCUCAACUGAGGAAGUGCAUCCGAAACUGGCAAGCUAGAGUAUGUAAGAGGGUCGCGGAAUUCCCGGUGUAGAGGUGAAAUUCGUAGAUAUCGGGAGGAACACCGGUGGCGAAGGCAGGUCUCUGGGCAUUAACUGACGCUGAGGAGCGAAAGCAUGGGGAGCGAACAGG